rnacentral:rRNA from 1 species
GACGGGGGGGCAAGGUGUUCUUCGGAAUGACUGGGCGUAAAGGGCACGUAGGCGGUGAAUCGGGUUGAAAGUGAAAGUCGCCAAAAAGUGGCGGAAUGCUCUCGAAACCAAUUCACUUGAGUGAAGACAGAAGGAGAGUGGAAUUUCGUGUGUAGGGGUGAAAUCCGUAGAUCUACGAAGGAACGCCAAAAGCGAAGGCGAGCUCUCUGGGUCCCUACCAACGCUGGGGUGCGAAAGCAUGGGGAGCGAACGGG